CCUAAAAAAAUUGAAAGAGAGAACUCUCUAUAAUUUUCCCUUGUUGGUGAGAUUUCACCACCACUCACGGUGGUCAUAACUCGAAAUAUUUAUCCUAAAACAAUCUUUUUCUUUCCUAAACCUAAAAAUACCCACCAUUUAAUUGAAAAUCGCUCCCCUCGUCCUAGAUCUAAGGAUUUCUGUGGGUUACUUUCGUUUUUUUUUUGACAAAGUUUCUCAUUCAACGACGACCGCUCUUCACAUGAGAAAAGGGGCACAGGAGUAAUGGUUCAAUAAUGGCUACGACUUCAGGAAAUCUAGUAACCAGCGACAAUAAUGGCUUCAUCGGCAACGGUCAGUGGUGAUGACAACGAAAAGAUGAUGAAUAUUAAGGGUGCGUUUGGUUUACGGAAUGUAAGAUUACUAGUAGAAAUAUGAUUACCGGUGGAAUAUGAUUACCGGCGGGAAUAAGAUUACUGGGAAUGUUGUAUUUUAUGUUUGGUUCGUUUAACAUGAAUGUAAGA